GGCCGGAGGAACAUAAUUCGCCACUAAUGUUGGACUUGCAGUGAGGACAAAUAGAUUUUGGGUCGUCGGAGAUGUACCGGCGGCCACUAUACCCGUGGCAGCCUGAGCCAGUACAAAAGUAAAACUUCUUGGCAUCGGAAGUUUCACCGGCGGCAAAGAGAAGUGGCGCAAUAUUGAAAGAGUGAGCCGCAACUUCUGGGUUCAAAAUGACAUCUCUGUUUAAGUUGUGUUGGAGGUAUGUUUGGCUUAUGUUUUCUAUGCUUUCGUAGAGAUUUCCGAGGGAGCCGACCAUGCAACUCUGGCUCACUAGUUUGGUAACGGUCCCGAGCGGCAAAGACAUCAGGUGGAACAAUAAAUCGACAAAAGGCUUGUCGGUUUCGGCGAAAAUAACUCUUUUUGUCUUCUUUUCUAUGAAGAGCUUAAAACUCAUGGUUGAGAAGGUUGCCGCCAUUGUUUCAGGGAGCAGAGAUACGGAUUGACUGAUGGU